rnacentral:rRNA from 1 species
GAUGAACGCUGGCGGCGUGCCUAAUACAUGCAAGUCGAGCGAACAGACGAGGAGCUUGCUCCUCUGACGUUAGCGGCGGACGGGUGAGUACCACGUGGCUAACCUACCUAUAAGACUGGGAUAACUUCGGGAAACCUGAGCUAAUACCGGAUAAUAUAUUGAACCGCAUGGUUCAUUAGUGAACGACGGUUUUGCUGUCACUUAUAGAUGGAUCCGCGCCGCAUUAGCUAGUUGGUAAGGUAACGGCUUACCAAGGCAACGAUGCGUAGCCGACCUGAGAGGAUGAUCGGCCACACUGGAACUGAGACACGGUCCAGACUCCUACGGGAGGCAGCAGUAGGGAAUCUUCCGCAAUGGGCGAAAGCCUGACGGAGCAACGCCGCGUGAGUGAUGAAGGUCUUCGGAUCGUAAAACUCUGUUAUUAGGGAAGAACAAAUGUGUAAGUAACUAUGCACGUCUUGACGGUACCUAAUCAGAAAGCCACGGCUAACUACGUG